rnacentral:rRNA from 1 species
GACGAACGCUGGCGGCGUGCUUAACACAUGCAAGUCGAACGGAAAGGCCCUGCUUUUGUGGGGUGCUCGAGUGGCGAACGGGUGAGUAACACGUGAGUAACCUGCCCUUGACUUUGGGAUAACUUCAGGAAACUGGGGCUAAUACCGGAUAGGAGCUCCUGCUGCAUGGUGGGGGUUGGAAAGUUUCGGCGGUUGGGGAUGGACUCGCGGCUUAUCAGCUUGUUGGUGGGGUAGUGGCUUACCAAGGCUUUGACGGGUAGCCGGCCUGAGAGGGUGACCGGCCACAUUGGGACUGAGAUACGGCCCAGACUCCUACGGGAGGCAGCAGUGGGGAAUAGUGCACAAUGGGCGGAAGCCUGAUGCAGCAACGCCGCGUGCGGGAUGACGGCCUUCGGGUUGUAAACCGCUUUCGCCUGUGACGAAGCGUGAGUGACGGUAAUGGGUAAAGAAGCACCGGCGAACUACGU